CCUACGGGAGGCAGCAGUGAGGAAUAUUGGACAAUGGGCGCAAGCCUGAUCCAGCCAUGCCGCGUGCAGGAAGACGGUCCUAUGGAUUGUAAACUGCUUUUAUACAGGAAGAAACACCUCUACGUGUAGAGACUUGACGGUACUGUAUGAAUAAGCAUCGGCUAACUCCGUGCCAGCAGCCGCGGUAAUACGGAGGAUGCAAGCGUUAUCCGGAAUCAUUGGGUUUAAAGGGUCCGUAGGCGGUUUAAUAAGUCAGUGGUGAAAGCCCAUCGCUCAACGAUGGAACGGCCAUUGAUACUGUUAAACUUGAAUUAUUAGGAAGUAACUAGAAUAUGUAGUGUAGCGGUGAAAUGCUUAGAGAUUACAUGGAAUACCAAUUGCGAAGGCAGGUUACUACUAAUAUAUUGACGCUGAUGGACGAAAGCGUGGGGAGCGAACAGGAUUAGAUACCCUGGUAGUCCACGCCGUAAACGAUGGAUACUAGCUGUUCGGAGCAAUCUGAGUGGCUAAGCGAAAGUGAUAAGUAUCCCACCUGGGGAGUACGUUCGCAAGAAGAGAAGUACGAAGAAGUAGAGACGUGAGAGNGCGACGGACGACGACGAGGGAGGAGG
rnacentral:rRNA from 1 species